UACGUAGGGUGCAAGCGUUGUCCGGAAUCAUUGGGCGUAAAGAGCGUGUAGGCGGCUCGAUUAGUCCGCUGUAAAAGUCCAGGGCUCAACCCUGGGAUGCCGGUGGAAACUGUCGGGCUAGAGUCCGGGAGAGGCGAGUGGAAUUCCUGGUGUAGCGGUGAAAUGCGCAGAUAUCAGGAAGAACACCCGUGGCUAAGGCGGCUCUCUAGUACGGUA
rnacentral:rRNA from 1 species